rnacentral:rRNA from 1 species
ACAUGCUUAUAGCAUAGCAUUAAUGUAUUAGAUCCCAUUAGAACUCCACAAUUAAGCGCGCUUAGGCUAGAGUAGUACUCGGAUGGGUGACCACUCGAGAAGUCCUAGCAUUUUACAUGCC